rnacentral:rRNA from 1 species
GGCGUAAACAAAGGGAAGCGAGACGGCGACGUUAAGCAAAUCCCAGAAAUAACGUCCCAGUUCGGAUUGUAGUCUGCAACCCGACUACAUGAAGCUGGAAUCGCUAGUAAUCGCGGAUCAGAAUGCCGCGGUGAAUACGUUCCCGGGUCUUGUACACACCGCCCGUCACACCAUGGGAGUCGGAAAUGCCCGAAGUCAGUGACCUAACCGAAAGGAAGGAGCUGCCGAAGGUGGAGCCGGUAACUGGGGUGAAGUCGUAACAAGGUAGC